rnacentral:pre_miRNA from 1 species
AGGUUUCUGAAUCCGUUCUGAGAUUUUGUCAAACAUCAACCCAUUUGUGCUGAUCAGACUUCCAAGAUAAGUGAACUU